CAUACGGCUCAGUAACACGUAGUCAACAUGCCCAGGGGACGUGGAUAACCUCGGGAAACUGAGGAUAAACCGCGAUAGGUCAUCACUUCUGGAAUGGGUAAUGACUUAAACCUAUAUGGCCCCUGGAUUGGACUGCGGCCGAUCAGGCUGUUGGUGAGGUAAUGGCCCACCAAACCUGUAACCGGUACGGGCUCUGAGAGGAGGAGCCCGGAGAUGGGCACUGAGACAAGGGCCCAGGCCCUAUGGGGCGCAGCAGGCGCGAAACCUCUGCAAUAGGCGAAAGCUUGACAGGGUUACUCUGAGUGAUUUCCGUUAAGGAGAUCUUUUGGCACCUCUAAAAAUGGUGCAGAAUAAGGGGUGGGCAAGUCUGGUGUCAGCCGCCGCGGUAAUACCAGCACCCCGAGUGGUCGGGACGUUUAUUGGGCCUAAAGCAUCCGUAGCCGGUUCUACAAGUCUUCCGUUAAAUCCACCUGCUUAACAGAUGGGCUGCGGAAGAUACUAUAGAGCUAGGAGGCGGGAGAGGCAAGCGGUACUCGAUGGGUAGGGGUAAAAUCCGUUGAUCCAUUGAAGACCACCAGUGGCGAAGGCGGCUUGCCAGAACGCGCUCGACGGUGAGGGAUGAAAGCUGGGGGAGCAAACCGGAUUAGAUACCCGGGUAGUCCCAGCUGUAAACGAUGCAGACUCGGUGA
rnacentral:rRNA from 1 species